rnacentral:rRNA from 1 species
GACGUAGGAUGCAAGCGUUGUCCGGAUUUAUUGGGCGUAAAGAGUUCGUAGGUGGUUCGUUAAGUCUGGUGUAAAAGACUGGGGCUCAACCCUGGGAUCGCACUGGAUACUGGCGGACUGGAGUGUGGUAGAGGCAAGUGGAAUUCCCAGUGUAGCGGUGAAAAUGCGUAGAUAUUGGGGAGGAACACCAGUGGCGAAGGCGGCUCACUGGACCGGUUCUGACGCUGAGGCGCGAAAAGCGUGGGGGAGCAAACGGGG